rnacentral:lncRNA from 1 species
UCACGUUUUGAGUCAGAUACAAUACAUAAAACGUAACUCCAGACUUGAAAAAAUAAAGCCAAACCUUGAUCUUCUCAAGGUGGAAAGCAGGGUUGAUGAUUCUUCUGUGUUUUGCCCAUUUAUCACCAUCAUAACUAAAGAGUCCACUGAUUAUAAGGUUGGUCAAAGGAAAUGUAUGUGGCUUUGGGAAAUCAUAAACUUUAUUGAACACUUCCUUGAUUUGCUCAGGAUCCGUAAUGGUUAUGGAUGGUAUAGUUCCUCGCCAUGUAAAGAAAGUCCUUCCUGUUCCAGACACAGAGAUACAAAACCUGACACCUUUAGAGUAGACCAGGUACUCUCCGGACCCAGUCCCUUGUCCCCCCGGACCCCAAUUUUAAUAUAUUUAUAUUUUUAUACCAAAUUUUGUAAAGCACUUUUUAUAUUAUUUUAUUAGAAGAAAAUUUAGUAAAGCACUUUUUGAUCAAAAUUUGGUAAAGCACUUGAAAAUUUAGUAAAUCACUUAAAAUUUUAAAAUUAAGGAUUUAAUUUUAUUCUUUUCCUCUAGAAUCCCUAAAAAUGUUGAACAAGCCCUCGUACUUUGCAGCAAUAGUUUUCUUGUUUUCGGUAUCUCUAUUAUGUUCUUAAUAGAUAGGAAUCAAGAAACAUACCGUAAGUCUUGAGCAUGUGCGAGGGGAAAGGCAAUACACGUGAGAUGAUAUCAUCCGUAAGUUUGAUGGGUUUGGACCUUGCCUCCUUUGACAUGCUAUUGUCCCUUCUCAUGUCUCCGACAAGUGGCGUAUAAGGAGUACCGGCAAUACCCUGUCUUCUCAGGUAACUUUCAAGCAUCUUUGGUUUAAACCAAACCCACUUUAGAGUUCUCCAUAUCCACAACAACACAACAAAUAUAGCUACUGAAACUAUUACAGACUCAGCUGAUGUUUGCAUAUUCGUUUCCAGAAAAGAAAGAGAAAGAGAGAGAUAUGGACUAACCCGCUGAUAUUCUCAACCAUAUAUAGAUUGAAAAAUUCCAUGUUGGUGAUGACCUCACCACUUAUGUCAUUCACACUUUAUGCUACGAAGCUACAGGAAGCAAAUUUAGAUUUGUGUGGGGAAAAAGGCACGACCGUCAACAUUUUCACAUUUCUUUAUCACUACAGCUACGGAAAACAUUUUCCUGGUACAAGUGAAUGUAUUAUAUUAAACGUGUUAGACUUGCCCACUGAUUAAUUUUGUUUGAAAAGUGAACGUUAAUUAAAAGUCAAUUGGUCACAUGAAGUUGUUACAUAAUCAAAAUGUUAUCUUCUAAACUCAAAGAAUAAAUUUAAUUAAUAGACCUUUAAGACUGUUUCGCUGGGACCAAACUUAAUAAAACAUUGGCUUAAUAAAACAAAAUUUAAUACAAUUAUACUCUUCAAAUAACUAAUAUUUAGAUCCUUUUGUAUAUGUAAAUGUAUAAGUGUGUUUAUACAAAUAUUUAUACUGUUUAUUAGACAUAAUUGUUUAAAAUUUUAUAUAUAUAUAUAUAUAUAUAUAUAUUGUUCCAUGUGUAUACUACUACACUGUUAUGAAUAUAUUAUAAUUUUUAGAUAUCUUUCUAUUUGAAUGACAAAAAAGAUUACUCCAUAUGCAUAGUGUCUAAGUUUGCUUUGUAUUUUAUACCUAAAAAAUAUGUAUUUUGGUUAAUGUUACUAUUUUGCUUCAUUUUACUAUAAUAGUUAAGUAAAUUAUCAAAUGUUAAUAUGUAUUUUUGUAGUUUAACUUAAAUAUGUACUAGUAAUUUCGUUUCAUUUUGAAAUAUAUAUUUUGCAAAUAUAGGUCUCUUAUUUUAUAUAUUGUGAAUGUUUUUAGAUAUUGUUAUUUUGAUUACUUUAACUAUUUUAACAUUAAUUUACCAUUUUAUUUUUAUAUAAACUGUAUUUUGGAAUAGUCGCAAAAGUCACAUGAAAAUUGACAGAAAAAUUUGUUACAUUCCAACACCCAGAUGAAAGCUUCAAGUUUGGCGUGUAAAGGUGAUAGACUUUGUCUUGAGUUUCUUGUCUCCAUCAGUCCCUCAAAAUCUUCAACUGUAAUGUACCAUCCUUGUCCAGAGAAAACAUUCUUAUCAUUCCUAGAUCGAUCUAUAAAACAUUCCUUCUCUGAGGUGUGUACUAUGUGUUUUCUCCUCUCUAUAUUGUGUGAGUUGGAGUUGAGAAUCAUUAUGCUUCGUUGCCAUGUGUGCUUCAUUCCAUAGCAUUACUUAUUUUUCUACCAAUUGUAAAGUAUAUGUUUAACCUUUUCAAUAUCUUGAUCUGGUCAAAUGCAGCAUAACAAGCCUGUUAAAUCUCCUUAGUCUCGUAAUUUUGUGUUAUCUCUUAAUAAUAACAAAAAGGUGUGGUAAUUAAUGCUCUCUCUCUCUCUUCUAAAGCCCCUCUUAUGCUCAUAUACUUUUCCGUAUAAAACCAAGGUUUCUGAUCAAGUAUGAACCACCUUGUGUCUCCUUUGAAAUGAAGAAACUUUUAUGGAGUCUGACUCUGUUUGGUGUCAUCUUAAUCUUCCCUGUUAAUGGGGUGAUGGAGUAUGAUAAAAUGGAGAAGUUCACAGAUUUUAAUGGGACAAAUGUGUAUCAGACCGAAAAUAAUGUCAAAUCCAAACCAAAGGUUACAAUGGUUGGACUCACUCUCAUUAAAAAUGCUGCUCUGAGAUCAGCAGGUAACAUCUUCUAUAACACGAUCUGAUUUAUUGAACCAUAUCCUUUGAUAAUAUGUUUAUUAUUACUCACUUUUUCGAACAUUGAUUCAUUAUAUCAUUCGAUUAGCGUUUUUGUAUUAUUGCAGUGUGUCUAGAUGGAAGUCCUGGCGGUUAUCAUUUUCAUCCCGGGUCUGGUUCAGGAGCAAAGAAUUGGCUCGUUCAUUUGGAGGUUUGUUGCAUCACAAAGAUAAGUCUCUCCUAAUAGAUGUUAAUAAUAUUAGUCGUACAUGAUUUCGUGUGAUGUUUUGAUAGGGAGGCGGAUGGUGUAGUGACACUGAAAGUUGUGAAUACAGCAAAAGAACUAGUCACGGAUCGUCCAAGCAUAUGGAGAAAAAGAUACCUUUUACAGGAAUUCUAAGUGACAAAGCCUCCGAAAAUCCAGGUUAGUGUUGAAAUCACUAUGUGUGAUGUCUAUUUCUGUUUAGGUUGCUAAUACAAAUUAAAUGUUUGUUUGCAGACUUUUAUAACUGGAACAGAGUAAAAGUUAGGUACUGUGACGGUGGAUCCUUUAUGGGAGACAAUGAAAAUAAGGUUAGCCAAGUCUAAAACAUAAGUUUGAGAGGAUUACUGUUUGUGUACUAUGAUUGCUAUAUGUUACUUUUUCUACGUAUUAGGAUGCAAAACUUCAGUUUAGAGGAAAGCGAAUAUGGACUUCUGUUAUGUCAGAUUUGCUGUCGAAUGGAAUGGAACAUGCAAAGCAGGUAAACCAUAGUUGUUGUUUUCGUGUAUGCAUAUGUCGUGUAAUAUCGACUUUAUAUAUGUCACAUUAGGGUCUGCUCUCUGGAUGUUCUGCCGGAGGCCUUGCAGCAAUAUUCCAAUGUGAAAUGAGCUGUGCUAGUUCUGUUUGGAGCUCAAAGAUCCUCUGUCCUUCUUUGUAGCUGCUGCCAAAAGCAGUACGAGAGAUCACAUCUUCUGUUAUACUCAUGAGCCCAGGCCAAACGUCCACCUCACAGGAUGACCCUUUGUCCGAAACCAUCUUGUCCCAUUUGUCAACAACCUCGUUGCAGCUCUGGUGGAACACAGGUACCAUAUUCUAUUCAUAGAAACAGAAGUCACGUUUUGAGUCAGAUACAAUACAUAAAACGUAACUCCAGACUUGAAAAAAUAAAGCCAAACCUUGAUCUUCUCAAGGUGGAAAGCAGGGUUGAUGAUUCUUCUGUGUUUUGCCCAUUUAUCACCAUCAUAACUAAAGAGUCCACUGAUUAUAAGGUUGGUCAAAGGAAAUGUAUGUGGCUUUGGGAAAUCAUAAACUUUAUUGAACACUUCCUUGAUUUGCUCAGGAUCCGUAAUGGUUAUGGAUGGUAUAGUUCCUCGCCAUGUAAAGAAAGUCCUU